rnacentral:rRNA from 1 species
UACGAAGGGGGCUAGCGUUGUUCGGAAUUACUGGGCGUAAAGCGCACGUAGGCGGAUAUUUAAGUCAGGGGUGAAAUCCCAGAGCUCAACUCUGGAACUGCCUUUGAUACUGGGUAUCUUGAGUAUGGAAGAGGUAAGUGGAAUUGCGAGUGUAGAGGUGAAAUUCGUAGAUAUUGGGAAGAACACCGGUGGCGAAGGCGGCUCACUGGCUCGUUACUGACGCUCAGGCGCGACAGCGUGGGAUCGAAACAGG